rnacentral:miRNA from 1 species
GUUGACGACGUCGAUAUUCGACGACAUAAGCACGAUCAACUUUGGUGUUUAUGACGUCGAUAUUCGACGACAUAAACACGAUCAACUGUCGUGUUUAUGACUUCGAUAUUCGACGACAUAAACACGAUCAACUUUGGUGUUUAAGAAGUCGAUAUUCGACGUCAUAAACACGAUCAGCUUUACUGUUUAUAACGUCAAUAUUCGACGAAUUAAACACGAUCAACUUUGGUGUUUAUGACGUCGAUAUUCGGCAUCAUAAAC